rnacentral:rRNA from 1 species
CCUACGGGAGGCAGCAGUGAGGAAUAUUGGUCAAUGGCCGUAAGGCUGAACCAGCCAAGUCGCGUGAAGGAAGAAGGAUCUAUGGGUUGUAAACUUCUUUUAUAAAGGAAUAAAACGAGGCACGUGUGCCUUUUUGCAUGUACUUUAUGAAUAAGGAUCGGCUAACUCCGUGCCAGCAGCCGCGGUAAUACGGAGGAUCCGAGCGUUAUCCGGAUUUAUUGGGUUUAAAGGGAGCGUAGAUGGGUUGUUAAGUCAGUUGUGAAAGUUUGCGGCUCAACCGUAAAAUUGCAAUUGAUACUGGCAGUUGUGAGUAAAGUUGAGGUAGGCGGAAUUCGUGGUGUAGCGGUGAAAUGCUUAGAUAUCACGAAGAACCACGAUUGCGAAGGCAGCUUACUAAACGGGGACUGACAUUGAUGCUCGAAAGUGUGGGUAUCAAACAGGAUUAGAUACCCGGUAGUC